rnacentral:lncRNA from 1 species
AUGCCCGGAGGGGGCGGUAGCACGCGCAAGGUGGGGACCCCGGUCUCCUCUGGGGUUGGCAGAGGACGGCUUCUUUCUCUCAGUCCGGUGGGGAAAGUGGGGGUGGGGGGCUGUCAGUCGAGGCCCGCAGCUCCGGACAGCCGGGCAGCCCGGCAGCAAGGAAUGCUCGAGCGCCCAGCGCCGGCGGCAGCUUCGGGCGCCCCCUCGGGCUCAGUGCGGGCCUCCCCGGACACCCGCGCAGAGCGGAGGAGCGGAGGGCGGCAGGUGCCUCCAGGACACCUCCGUGGCGCGCUCGCCCCAGACCUCCCCAGCUCGGCGGAGCGGCGGCCGCCACUGCGUGUGCCCCGCGCAGUCCUCCCCGCCCGACCCCGGGCCCGGCCCCGGCCCCGGCCCCGGCCCCGGGCGCGCAGGUGCCCCGCGGUCUGCGGAGGGGGCGCGUGUGUGCGUGUGCCGGGAAGGCGGCCCUCCCUCCCCGCCCGCCCCUGCGCCAGCGCCUCCUCCCUCCCCCUCCCCCUCCCCCUCCCCGGCGCGCACGGCCCGUCCCCGGCCCCGGCCCCGGCCCCGGCCCCGAGGCGGCUCGAGCCGCCGCCGAGCAGCCUCGCCUUCGCCUCCCGCGUUUCCUGCCGCCCGCGCCCCCCCCCGGCCGGGCUCCAGGGGCGGCCGCGGAGCAGCUCCCGGCGGGAGAGCGGCUCGGAGCGCGCACGCGGGCGGGCGGGCGGGGGCGGCCUGCUUCGGGGUGGCCGCGCCGGGGCGAGGCGCGCGCGAAGACGCCGGCCCCCCUCUCGGCGUUUGCUCUCCGGCUCCCCGCCUCCCGCGCUCCGCUCGCUCCCACCCCUUCCCGGCGUGAUUGAUCCGUCACGGGCGCCGCCGCCGCCGCCGCCGCCGCGGCCGUUCGGAGGCGAGCAGGAGCCGGAGCCGGAGCCCGAGCCCGAGCCGGAGCCGGAGCCGGGGCCGGGGCCGGCGCCAUUGCGCGGGCGCCGCGGGGAGAGCUUGGCGCGGGGCGGCGGGCCGGGCCAGGCCAUGCGGGCCGAGUGA